GGCCGCCUGCCAGGCCGCUACCAUGCGGCUCUCCAGGGAGCCGGCGCGGCUCAGCCCGCCCAGCAGAGAGGCGGAGAGGUGCUGGAGAAUGGAGGGGGACGGCUGGGGGCCCAGCAGCCAAAGAACAGGUACAGUUUCCACAUUAAACUUGCCUGGGAGGAACCACUGCUAUUUGGUCUCUGCAAACUCUGCAAACAUUCCAGCUCCGUGACCAGUUUUGUCAGUGGUCUUGAAAGAGGCUGCAAAGAUAACUGAAAGAUUUGUUUUAUGAUCUUGAUUCCUGCAAGACAACAAGAAGAAAAGUUCCCUUACUGAACCUGUUCAGUUACGGAGCUAACAAGCAGUUUUGGUGCAUACUUGUUUUAACCUAAUGCAGAUCUAGAUCUGCCUGGAAAAGCCAGGAAUAUGUGAAGCUGAAACACAUGCCGAAGCAUCCAGACAGUGCCUCAAGCUGGCCACACGUUCCCAGAAAUAAAGAAAAACACCAGAGCCUACCUGCAGAAUGACCUUUCUCCUAACUGACUUGCAGCUCCGAAGCUUUUGUGCUGGAAGAGAUAGGGAGAUGAAAUGCUCUCCUGUUCAGUGCAUGCAGAAGAGACUGGAGCUGAGUUGCUAUCUUUGUAACAGUAGAACUACAGCGAGAUCUGAAUUCUUUGUUUGUGUUUCGUCGCCUGCUUUGAGGCAAGCAGUGGUGAUGAGAUCAGACAUCAGCCAUAGGACACUUCUUGGCAGCGUGACGGAAAGCCAAGACUGAGCAUAUGGUUUGUUGCAAGCUCUGACCUUCCCAGUGAUCUGGGGCAAAGCCAAGCGCCUGGAAUUUCCAUCAAGUGCCAUUCAGAAGCCUACCUGAUGCUGUGGAAAGCCUCUGUGCCAUUUCUGGGAAAAGAAAUCCAUGGGUAAAGUGCCAGUUGCUCUUCUCUCGUAUUAUUACCUACUAGACAAAGUGAACAGCUAUGGUAGCACAGGAGGAGAAGGAGACUUUUUUUCCUUUUCAGGACCUGGUGGUAAACAGCAGCACACCUCCAUGGAAGCUCUCAGGUGGGGACUUGCUGGCCAUGGGUGCCCCUUGUGUGGCUCUAUGAAGUCAAGGGCCCAUUGGAUAGCAGAUUGGGAUGCCUGAGGGCACACUUCUACAAGCCACAAAUGCAAUCUGUUGAGAUCUUAGUCGUCAUCAGAGGAAAAAGCACGUUUUGAAUGAGUUUGGAAACUCUCCAGCCAUUCUAAGAGUGAAAUCUGCAGCUGGCUGGCCAGGAAGAGACCUUAGAUAAGCAAAGCGUAACUGCUCAUGGCUUGCCAGGAUCUGGGUGGGAAAAGCCUUUCUUUGAAGAGGAUUUCCCAUCUUCACCCAAGGACUCCCCAGCUGCUGAGCUUUUUUUUGUUGCCCCAGCCUCGUGGCUAGGAUUUGUAUUUCUCAAGUCCUUGAAGCUCAUUGCCCUCUCCAAUUCCUCACAGAGUUCACUGCAGCCUGGCUCCGGUCACACAGCUGUUUACUCCUUCAUUGGAAUCUGCUUUGAAUGGAAAUGAUUUUUACUUUAUUUUUCUUUUGCUGUGCAGCCACCUCAUUACUUAACAUUAUAUUGCAGCCUCUUCCUACAGCAUCGCCGAAGUGCUCAUCAAAGCCUCUCUGCCCCAGCACUGGGGGGGCAGGGGUGGAUUGUUAGUCUCUCUGUGUUCAGGGUUAGAGAUGUUCCCUUCUCUCAUGGACUAGCGACUCUUCCAGACACAUCUUUAGCCUUGCCAUUCAAGAUCAAAACCAGAGGCAGCUGGGAGUGCGUUAGAGUAAUGUACACUCAAAGGCAGCACUUUGUUUCCUGUAAGUGACUAUCAGCUGAGCCUGUGAUGUGCUGAAAUCGGACUGAUUCUCCCCGCAGAGGGGAGCAGCCUGUCUGGGAGCUGGCUGUGGAACAGCAAAGGCUGAGCGCAUACCGUGGCAUGCUAAUGACUGACCUUGUUUCUCUCGCUUCUACCCUAAGAGUCUGCUGCUAGAAAGGUUUCUGAUGGGGGAUAGCAGCAAGUGUUUCCAUAGAGCAGACUUCACAAAGCUGAGAUUCCUCCAGACCGGAAGAGUUGGCUUUUCAGAAGAGAGGGAGAAGAGAACAGAAAAAAACUGGAGAGGAAAUAAAAGGAAAUAGAAGACAAAGGAAAAGGCAGCAAAUGGCUGGAAGAAUUGGACAUGGAGCAUAGAAAGGACUGUAUGUCCCCAGUUGCUUUGAGCACUCAGCAGAUCCUGUGGUGUGUCUGCUUUAUUACUGACAGAGUUCUCCCUUCUGUCGGCUUGUUUCCUAAUUGCUGGUCUUGUAAACUGCUUGAUUUAUGGCUCUGUUCAUCAGUUCUGGCCCUCGGGUAUAACAUGCUUUUCCUUCCAGGCUGGGAAGUGAAUAACGAAUUAACAGCCUGCCUUAGGUUCAGUAAGAAGCUAAGCAUUCAGGGAUCUUUAUUGUGAUGCACGUGCCAAAUCUAACUGCUUAAUUUUUACUUCUCAUUCACGGAUGCUAUUCAACGACUUCUUCCCCAGGGCAGCAGCUGUGUCGUGGAUGCUUGGUGCCUUUGAAGUGUCCCACAAGUGAAAUCACCAAGGAAUGGAUUUGCAGUUGGUUUGCACAGAGAACUCAAUCUGUUUCCUCGCAGCUUGCUUUGGAGCUGACAUUGUGUGCCAUACAUGCUUGUCUCGGACAAACUUCCUUUCAGUGCAGCCGAGGGAUGAAGAUCAAGGCAGAGAACAAACAGGCCUGCUGAGCUGAAGCUGUGACCCCCCGGUGUGCAAGCAGCCUUCAAGCCAGCUCCUGGCUGUCCUCCCCACAUUCAGUGCUGAAAAGAGGUUCGUCCUAGGCCCUGAAGUAGUGUCCCUGGAGUCAGUGCAACUUUCAUCCUUUAUUGAGCGAAUCAAGUACUUCUGCCCCUACAGUCCUUGGUGGCAAUCUUGUGCCUUCUGCACAGCUCUGAUCCUUGUGGCUUCAUGACUGCACCACCAUGUGCUGGGUUUACGGAGCAUCUGGGCCUUGGCAUGGUGAAGUUCGUGCAUCCCUGCAGCCGUGGACCGUGAGGAUGGGAGCUCCCUGUACUCCGAGCAUGGGGCUGUUGUCAUUGACUAGGAGUACGGCCAGGAGGCCCAGCGAUGGCAUGCUGCUGUUGCUGAGCCAAAGGAGUUUUGAUGAGAUUCAACACCAGGUGCUCCUCAUUACAACGUCUCAGCAACACUGUGCCAGACUGGGCAAGAAAUGUGUUUCUUCUUCUUCCACUGAGCAGCAGACAGCUGAACUGUCCAACAGACACCUCGGUGCUUUCCUGCAGCUUUGCUACCAGUUUUUGAAAGUAGUGCGAUCUUUCUGCAAUCUUUAAGGGAUGUCCACCACCUAUAUUUGGGUUUAGAGUACACAUUUAAGAAUGGUACAGAGAGUGGACACAGCUUUCCAGAAGACAGUCACUGGUGCCAUGAACAAGAAGGAAUGCUCACUGCUGGGGUCUGUGACUGCCCUUUCUGUGGAGGGAUCAGAGGAGUCCUUUUAUGCAGUUUGUGCUUGUCCUCUAAAUUCUCUUCAAGGCAACUGCUUUCAGAGGCUGCAUCCUUUCCCAACACAACUCUGAGCAAUAUCCUGAACAGAGUGCUGUAACUUCAGGUGGAGAAAAGCAACAGAAGCAGAUGGGCUUGUAAACAGCAGAGCUGGCUGCCCCACAGAGGGCCGUGCAGAGCAGAGAGGAGCAGAACGCAGGGAGACUACUGCAGACCCCAUGGAUUGCAACAGUCACAGGGAAAAGAGACCUAUGAAAGAUGGCUCCAGAUGUUUUACCUAAUAAAUCAAGGAGUCUCAUCAGAGGAUUGAGUCCAAAAGCUGUUACCAUGACUUCAAAGGCACAGAGUGGAGCAGAAAGAAGCAGCACGGACAUUUUCUACCAGUCUGCAGUCACUGAUCAUGAAAAUAUACUCUGGUUCCAGGUUUUUUUCUGUGGGAACCAAAACUCCACCUCGAUUAAAUAAAAUGGUGCUGUGCCCCCAGUCAACAUCUGCUGGAAAAGAAUCCAGGUGAAUUUGGGCUGGGUGGUUGGCAGAAGUGGCAGUGAGUGACAUGGUGUGCUGCUGGCCCAGAGGACCUCUGCCAGCCCCGUCCUCCUUCAGCUCGCUCAGCUUUGAGGUCACUCUGGCUUUUCAGAUCAGUCCAUAGCUGUGACCACAUCCUGACUGUGCUUCCUGCAGGUGGGCUUUGUGUUUGGGUUGUGCCUAAGGAUUCAGGUACAUGAAUAGUUGUCACCAUGGGGUGUCGGGAGGGCUGAGCUAUCCCCUGUCUCACAUUGGUAGCAGGUUAAGAGUAUGCAGAGGGCUGUUCCCACAAAGCAGAUGGAUGGUUGGGUCUCUGAAGGACCGGACUGCAGCAUCUGGAGUGCUAUAAAAAUACUGCACAGCCCUCAGUAAACACUGCCAUUACCUGGGACAUGGAUUUUCCCCAGUCAUGCCUUAUUUUAUGUGUCUCAGGGCUGUCAGUCUGGAAUAAGCCAGGUACAUAUCUCCUGUAUUACAAUGAUAUGUUCAGUCUGAAAAAAAACCAUAAAACAACAACAACAAAAAACAACCCAAACCCAACUUGAUCUAAAUAUUAAACAACGUGAAUCAAAUUACCAUGAUACAGAGUGUUCCUGCUACGGACUUCAGAAAAAUUGCUUCCCUCCCCCGGGAUGCUGACGCCCAGCAAACUGUCACGGCUGCCUGGGAUUGGUGACAUCUCGAGUGACACGUGUUGGAUCGUCAGAUCAGAGUGGGAGCAGCACAGCUUUGGGAGCCUAAAAAUAGAUUGCUCAGUCCUGCAUCCAAGAGAGUCAGAGAGUACUGAUGGGGGUGAGGAGCUGAACUUCUGUGAACCAGGAAGAAAUGCUGGCAAACUUGCACUGAUUUUGGAGAUGCUCAAAAUUUGCAAGAGGUUAGAAAUGAUAUUACAAUAAAAUUUAUGCAGAAUGAUUCAAGGCGUAGCUCUGCUUUCAAACUAGAAGCUGCUGGGAACAGAAGCUUGUUUCUCUUCUUAGCAAAUCAGGGCUGAAUCACUGCUGCUACCCUCUGCAAGGAGACUUCCUUACUCUCCUCUAUGAGCUCCAUAACAAUGCUCUCCUCUGGACUUUUGCAGCAGCAGCACGGCUCCCUGCCUUUCUUGGCUUCCAUUCCUCUAGGAAAAAUAAACAAAUCCAAUAUCUCUUCCAUGAAGAACCCGUUACAUUUUAUAGAAAUUCCUUCACAGUGUUUGGAAGGGUGAUGAGAUUCAGAGUAGCAUUCCAGUAGCAGGAAGCAGGCCUAAAACUCUGACUUGAAAGGGAUACCUGAGAAGUGUUUGAACAAAUCAGUCACACUACAGCAGGACUCUGUCCCGGUCCACAUCUAUAAUCUAAUGUCAGUAUUCUUCCCCGUUUCUGCAGAUCAUCAUCCCAAUCUUCACUACAUCUUACUAAUGAUGUGUGCCAUUGUUUCUGAACACUUAUAUUAUCUGACUGAAGUAAUUUUGUUCAUAUUUACAGUGCUGCCACAAGUUUCUGUGACUUCACUGUCACUUCUGUGACUGAAAUGACUUCUCUGACUUCAGUUUCUGCAAUUUCAAAUAGAAAUACUUUAGUCAAUAUUUACAACAGGGGCUCCUGGAAUCAUUAUAUAUACAUAUAUCUCUUCAGUUUUAAAUAUCUAGAGUAGGAGAGUGAGAUAAAAGCCAUCUGAGACCUCCAACAGCAGUAGAGACACACGGGUUGAAGUUAUUGAUUGUACUUUUCCUUGGUUCGUUUUUCCUUCUGCUUUCUCUGAGGAAAGGGCUUGCUUUUACUGUGUGCACUGUGCCUAAUACAAUAGGACCAACCUCAGGUAAGACCUUUAGGCACUCCCAUUAUAUGAAUGAGAACAAGAUUGUUGGUGUCAGUAAUUAACAUUCUUGUGGGAUUGUUGGAAAUGCUUUGGGAUAAACACCACCUGGAAUCCCUGCCUGGCUUAUGUGGUUUUUAAGCUGCAGAGGAGGCUGAUCCUGUUCACAUAAGAGGGCACGGACCCUCUGUCUCUUCUCUUUUUGGGCACAGAAAGAGUCUUUCAGUCCAAAAAUGCAAUACAGAACCUCAGUGAGAAGUGGGAAGCCUGGAAAAGUGAGGGUGUUGCCAACAGGAAAGAAAAAUGAGGGGUCAGUUAGCAGCAUGUCUCCAUUAAAAGUCUCACUGAAGAAAAAAAAUCCUAUGACAGCCACCAAAACAGAGAGAAAAGCACCGAACUGUGUGUAACUGAUAACGCUGUGAAUGACUGUAGCACAGUGUCAUCCCAUAACAGGCUUCCAAAGAUGCUCUGGUUAAGCAGAUGGCAGAACUCCCCUUGACUGCACUUAAUGCUUGGCUUUGCCUGUGGUGUUACCUGCAUUUCUCUGCCUCUGAGCGCCCAGACAGCCGCAUCCCUCAUCAUUAUGCAAUUCUGAUAAUCAAGAAAUUGUGCUUUAGAGUGUGGAUUGGAUUUGGUAAGCCUUGCAUUUUGGAUUCUUCGUUUCCUCUAUCUGCACUUGAAAUCCCUGAGUAAACAAACAUAGGAUUAGAUCUCAACAACUCCUUAGCAGACCAAGCCAUUAAAAGCAUUUCACACCAGCUGCUCCACUCCCAUUUCGGACUCUAUUAAACACCAAGUCAAGCAAAGGAGUUCACUCUUCCUUUCAGACUUCUGAGAAACAAUGGAUUGUGGUGACUGUGGAAUGUUUGCUCCCAUUUGUGACCCCCUGCCUCCAGCGAGGAGCUGGAAUUAUCUAGCUGUUGACAUCAGGAAGGACAUAAAUAUGUGCUAGAGUUAGAGGCCUUCUGGCAAAUAGCCUACUAACCUAGAAUUUGCUCUGCAAUGUCAGGAGUUAUGACUUCUAACCUUGGAGCAGCUUGCAAAACCACAUCUGUGACCAAUAAAUAUGAAAAACAGAAAAAAAUAAAAUCUAGUCCCUGUUGAACAAUGAAAGAGAGCCCAUCAUGCUAGUCUGCGGUGAUCAGUACGGCAACCUAUGCAGGCACAAUCAAACUGUUUGCCAGAAGUCUAUGGUUGUAACGCCUACCCAAGGGAUGCAGCACAACAGAUUAAUGUUGAGGUGAGUAUCUCUUAGAUGUAAAUCUUAAACUUAAUGAGCUAGGUCCUUAUUUAUGCUGCAGUUCCUUCUUACCCCAAAAUUACGUUUUCCAGCUGCUUGAGGAUGUCCAGU